AGAAACCUCCAUUGAAGCAACCUUUCUUGUUCAUGGUCAUCUGCCUAGUUCGGCUGGAAUUCGAGAUUGAAGGUAUAGUUUUCGACUUGCUAGUCGCUUUCUUGUUCGCUUUCUUCGUCGUCUGUUGUCACGACCGGACCUAAUUAAGGAUAAUUAAGCCGGGAAACCGUGACUAAUGGAGGGAUAUUAGAAGCGGGGUAGAAAGGGGUUAAUUCAUCUUCUUUUUUUUUACCAGAAAUCCAUUAUUUCAAAAAAAACAAAAAAAAUGGUACUUUUUAUGGUUGUUUUACCCUAGUUUUGUUUGUUGAUUUUUCUGGAUCUAUUUUGAGGAAUCAUUUAUAACACUGAGUAAAAAUAAUGAUUGUCGUGCCUUAUUUGAGCGUAAUAUCUAUGAAACACAAUGGUCCUCCAUGAACAAAUCGAUAUCCAUAAAGGUUUUAUCUUGUGUAAUGCUUUUAUUGUUUUUACUUUAAAGUGUCAUUUUUAUGGUUUUCUUGUUUAUAUUCCACAUCAUCUUUUCGAAUGUACAAGUUUUAGAAGUUGUGUUCGAGCCACUAUAUGUGGUCAUUCAUGAACAUAAGAGAUGGCUUUUUGUUUACAUGAACAUUCAUAAAAAUUUUGUUUUAUGAAUUGGAGUUUAUGUAAAAAAUUAUAUUCAUAUUCUGAAAUUUGGUUGUGUUCAGCUUCUGUAUUUUUCAUUUAUAUAUUUUGGGGUUUUGUUGAUGUUUGAAAUUGUUCAGUGAUUAUUCAGUUGUUGUUCAUAUGCUUAAUCUACAUAUCAUUUGUAUGUUCAUAUGCCUUAAUAUUGUUGUUCGUAAGAUGUACUCCCUCUGUCCGCCAAAAGUAUUUCACAAUUACUAUAUUUGGCGUCCGCAAAAAGUAUUCCACUUUCCUUUUUAAGUCAUGGUCCCACCAUCCACCUUUAUAUUUUAUCCUUACAAACACUCUUUAUUUACAAAAAAUCACCUCAAAUUCAAUCUCAACCACACAUUUCAUAAAGUGGUGGGACCCUUUCUCCACUACAUCAACAUCAUCUCUAAUUUUAUUAAACUCCGUGCCCAGCCAAAGUGGAAUACUUUUGGCGGACGGAGGGAGUAUUAUUUAAUAAUAAUAUUUUGAUGUGCUAAUAACUUUUUGAAUUUAUUCAUUAUGUGUUGAUUCUCAUUUCUUACUAUGUGCAUUGUUUGAUAAUAGUCUUAAUUAACUUAUAGAUCAUUGAACAAUUCGCUUGAAUAUGAAGACCGUCUAUGGAUUCACGUGGAAGAGAGCUAUGAGAUUACAAUCUUGUGCAUCGAUUGUAUUUUGUGACUACAACUGUGUCAAAGAAGAUGUUAUAUAGUCCGCAGAUGUGCAUUAUCGCGAACUGUGCAUGGAUCGAAAGUUCAAGGCUAAUUUAGUUUUGUUAGG
rnacentral:lncRNA from 1 species